rnacentral:rRNA from 1 species
AGUGAACGCUGGCGGUAGGCCUAACACAUGCAAGUCGAACGGCAGCACAGUAAGAGCUUGCUCUUACGGGUGGCGAGUGGCGGACGGGUGAGGAAUACAUCGGAAUCUACUUUUUCGUGGGGGAUAACGUAGGGAAACUUACGCUAAUACCGCAUACGACCUACGGGUGAAAGCAGGGGAUCUUCGGACCUUGCGCGAUUGAAUGAGCCGAUGUCGGAUUAGCUAGUUGGCGGGGUAAAGGCCCACCAAGUCGACGAUCCGUAGCUGGUCUGAGAGGAUGAUCCGCCACACUGGAACUGAGCCACGGUCCAGACUCCUACGGGAGGCAGCAGUGGGGAAUAUUGGACAAUGGGCGCAAGCCUGAUCCAGCCAUACCGCGUGGGUGAAGAAGGCCUUCGGGUUGUAAAGCCCUUUUGUUGGGAAAGAAAAGCAGCAGGUUAAUACCCCGCUGUUCUGACGGUACCCAAAGAAUAAGCACCGGCUAACUUCGUG